GAGAGUUUGAUCCUGGCUCAGAACGAACGCUGGCGGCGUGCUUAACACAUGCAAGUCGAGUGCGCGUGCCGUAGCAAUACGGUAUGGCGCACGGCGCACGGGUGCGUAACACGUGGGCAAUCUGCCCUCCGAUGGGGAAUAACCCCGCGAAAGCGGGGCUAAUACCGCAUAACAUUCCUGGGACUCCGGUUUCGGGAUUCAAAACCGCAAGGUGUCGGAGGAGGAGCCCGCGCCCGAUUAGCUAGUUGGCAGGGUAACGGCCUACCAAGGCAAUGAUCGGUAGCUGGUCUGAGAGGAUGGCCAGCCACACUGGAACUGAGACACGGUCCAGACUCCUACGGGAGG
rnacentral:rRNA from 1 species